rnacentral:rRNA from 1 species
AGUGAACGCUGGCGGUAGGCCUAACACAUGCAAGUCGAACGGCAGCACAGUAAGAGCUUGCUCUUACGGGUGGCGAGUGGCGGACGGGUGAGGAAUACAUCGGAAUCUACUUUUUCGUGGGGGAUAACGUAGGGAAACUUACGCUAAUACCGCAUACGACCUACGGGUGAAAGCAGGGGAUCUUCGGACCUUGCGCGAUUGAAUGAGCCGAUGUCGGAUUAGCUAGUUGGCGGGGUAAAGGCCCACCAAGGCGACGAUCCGUAGCUGACCUGAGAGGAUGAUCGGCCACACUGGAACUGAGACACGGUCCAGACUCCUACGGGAGGCAGCAGUGGGGAAUAUUGAGCAAUGGGCGAAAGCCUGACCCAGCAACGCCGCGUGGGUGAAGAAGGCCUUCGGAUCGUAAAGCUCUGUUAUUAGGAAAGAAAACAAGCGGAUGUAUCCCCGCCUGUCUUGACGGUACCUAAAAAGAAAGCCCCGGCUAACUUCGUG